UACGAAGGGGGCUAGCGUUGCUCGGAAUCACUGGGCGUAAAGCGCACGUAGGCGGCUUUUUAAGUCAGAGGUGAAAUCCUGGAGCUCAACUCCAGAACUGCCUUUGAUACUGAGAGGCUUGAGUCCGGGAGAGGUGAGUGGAACUGCGAGUGUAGAGGUGAAAUUCGUAGAUAUUCGCAAGAACACCAGUGGCGAAGGCGGCUCACUGGCCCGGUACUGACGCUGAGGCACGAAAGCGUGGGGAGCAAACAGG
rnacentral:rRNA from 1 species